rnacentral:sRNA from 1 species
UUUUAGCCCCGAUAGCAGUGAAAAUCCUUUUGUGUCCGUCCCGAUAGCUAUCGGGAGGCACAAAAGAUUGUAACGGAUAGCGGGAUUAGCU